UGCGUAGGCGGGGGAUUAAGUCAGUGGUGAAAUCCUACAGCUUAACUGUAGAACUGCCAUUGAUACUGGUGUUCUUGAGUAUAGUUGAAGUGGGCGGAAUGUGUAUUGUAGCGGUGAAAUGCAUAGAGAUUACAUAGAACACCAAUUGCGAAGGCAGCUCACUAAGCUAUCACUGACGCUGAGGCACGAAAGCGUGGGGAGCGAACAGGAUUAGAUACCCUGGUAGUCC
rnacentral:rRNA from 1 species